GCGGAAAAUUACAGCAAUCAUAUCACAGAGCAUUGUGCUGCAAAAAAGCGCUCCAAAUUUAUAUACAGAAAGAGAAAAGACAAAUACCAAAUCACCAAACUAAGUAUCCUUUUUUUUUAAUGGUUCCCAUCAGAUCAUAUUGAGAAUACUCAAAAUGUAAGACACCGUAAAAGAAUCAAUGAGAGUAGUGUCGGAACCAGCAGAACUUGCUUCCUCUAUCACCUUCUGCCACUUCAUUAUCUCUAGAAUGAAUCCACCAUAGAAGAUUUGAAAGAGAAUUUCCAUCAUCAAACCCAGUUAAGCUCCUAGUUUUGUUCAAAGCACCCACUUUAUCAUAUAUUGCUUCCAAAGUAUACACAAACCCUUUCCAUCCUUCUCCAACCCCUUCCCUUGCCAGAGCUGGCAGUGUCCAUUCGACCAACUGCUUCACAAACUGCACGUCUGAAAACAGAAGUUCAGUAAUGGGCAAUAUUGGUAAGACCUGAAUUCCAAGUCUACACUCUUUCCAUUCAGGUGGAGCAAACCAAAGGCCGCUAUCCCUUUUGUUAGACCAUAAAACACCCACCACCCUGUUGUUUUUUGUGAAUUCUUCCCCAUAUAAAGUGCUUCCCUCUUUCACAUGCCACCAAGUCUGUGCAGAAUGAAUCUCUAAAGCUGAAAGGGUCGAUCCAAUGGCAACAAGAUGGGUAUCCCCAUAGGCCAAACCCAUCAAAGCUGCUGAAUAGUAU
rnacentral:misc_RNA from 1 species